UUAAUCCGAGGAAUUCGCCAGGAGGUACCGGAAGGCACCGGUAUCGCAGAAGCCCACCGGGAGCCUGAAUCCCAGCCAGCCUGCCCCGCCAUCCGUCACUAAAAGCCACUCCAAACCACCAGAGAAUAACUAGCACCCCUUCUGCCCUCCCGACGCCCUUUGCCGCACCCCCCCAUUUUUGCAGCAGUCUCAGACUCGUUCCCAACCCCAGCCCAGAGACUUUCACUUUGUCCCAAGCCUCCCAAGCACCCCUCCCCGCCUCAGUGGGGGCAGCUCCCAGCUCCGAGCCCCCACCUCGGGGCUCCCAGCCUGGUCCGGCGCGGCCGACUCCAGCAGCCACAGGUGGGUCACUCUGUUCCCUCCUCCUGAGCCUGGGUAGACCUUUGUGACUCUCUUGACGAACAGACUGUGACAGAAGUGAUACCAGGUGACUUCUGAGACUAUGUCAUAAAAAGCAGUGCAGCUUCUGCUGGGCUCUCCUUCUCUGGACAUGUGUUUCUGAAGCCCUGAGCCACCAGAUUAAAACAGUCUGGCUUGCCUGAAGUCACCACGCUGGGGAGACCGCCAGGGAUGAAGAGAAGCUACAGAAUCCCUGGCUAUUCUAGUCCCCAGCCACUUAAGUCUUCCUAGCCCAGACUCAUCAGUGAAGAAACCUUCAAGAUAAUUCCAAUGCUACCUAUCAUUUGACCGCAACCACAUGAAAGCCAAGUGAGAACUGUACAGCAAAGCCACUCCUAAAUUCUUGUCCCAUAGAAACUGUGAAAGACAAUAAAUGAUCAUCACUGUUUCAA